AAUCAACGCUGGCGGCGUGCCUAACACAUGCAAGUCGAGCGGACUUGAUGAAGUGCUUGCACUUCUGAUGGUUAGCGGCGGACGGGUGAGUAACACGUAGGUAACCUGCCUAUAAGACUGGGAUAACAUUCGGAAACGAAUGCUAAUACCGGAUACGCGAAUUGGUCGCAUGGCCGAAUCGGGAAAGACGGAGCAAUCUGUCACUUAUAGAUGGACCUGCGGCGCAUUAGCUAGUUGGUGAGGUAACGGCUCACCAAGGUGACGAUGCGUAGCCGACCUGGUAGGGUGAUCGGCCACACGGGGACUGAGACACGGCCCAGACUCCUACGGGAGGCAGCAGUAGGGAAUCUUCCGCAAUGGACGAAAGUCUGACGGAGCAACGCCGCGUGAGUGAUGAAGGUUUUCGGAUCGUAAAGCUCUGUUGCCAGGGAAGAACGCUUGGGAGAGUAACUGCUCUCAAGGUGACGGUACCUGAGAAGAAAGCCCCGGCAAACUACGUGCCAGCAGCCGCGGUAA
rnacentral:rRNA from 1 species